CUUCUCUUGACGCAGAGCCAAUUAAACAGCGGUAACGGCCCAGCAGCAGCCGCAGCGGGGGAGCCGCUCGCCGGCGCCACCGUCGCACCGUGAGCCGUCGGCAUUCUGCGCACAUCGCAGAUCGCACGCACCGCAGGAAAGUUCAAAGCUGCGUCGAGGACAACGUGAGGAAUCUUUUCACCGCGUUUCCGCGAGGACGCUGCGGCGACGUUCGGACAAACCGAAGCGAGGAGGUAAGUGACCUUCAGAUGAGAAGCGC
rnacentral:lncRNA from 1 species